AAAGCUUCGGAAAAACGCAUAUUCUUUAUUACGCUCAAUUACAACACUUUCAAUCCAGUCCUAACAUUAUCACCUUGUUUAUUUACAAAUCGUUUAUUUACAAAUCAACGAGAAAUUCAAGUAUGAGAUAACCAGAUCUAAGAAGCUGAAAAUAAAGCUUGAAAGUUCAGAUAAAGUACAGGCAGAACCUCAUGCGAACUAGGAAGUUCAGAAAAGGCUGACGCGGAACUUUUUCUGAACUUUCAAGUUCAGAAGAAGUACGCGCGGAACGCAAUGUGAACUUAAGUCUGACAGUUCUCUAGUUUGUUUUGAUUUUGCUGCAGUAAUUGUAAUUGUAAUUGUAAUUGAAAAACGUUGUGUACGCAAUAUUUUCCUUCCAAACGUUUACUGAAAUUUUAUUCUGAUAUGCUGUGUGCCGCAGUCCAAACAACCAACGCCUUGGAACACAGGGAGCUCUCGGUGGUGUCCGAGAAAUGGAUUCGGACCUCCAAAACCGGCAACAUCAUGCUGUGGCCUACAUAAAAACACCCAAGAUUUGGGCAAAUUGCUCAGGGAUGGAAGCAUCACGCACAGCAAAUGUCUAACGGGAUUUCACAGCUUACAUCAUUUUUUCUUUUGACCUGCACAUUCAUUGGUAUCUGAAUUCAUAAUUGAUUUCCUGUAAGGUAACAAAAGUGUUCAGAUAGAGAAACCUUUAAGCACCCUAAUAUUACCUGGAAUCAUAGCUUUGUUUUCUUUUUGCCAUUAAUUUAGAUAAUAAAAUUCCGAUGAUAAUAAAAUAGA